CAUCCGAUAAUAAGUGGAUCUGCGUAAACUCCAACUAGAACACCAUAAAUUUACCGUCUACCGAUAAGUGAACGAAGCAUUUAACAACGAGUGACCUGCAUGAAUACUUAAAGUCACCAGAAGUGACAAUAACAAAAAGACACGAAGAAGAAGGGCCCUGUAGCCAUCGUCUCGAGCGGCAAAAUAAGCUCCGUGCAUCAUAACGGCCUUCUCUGUGAAGGCCGUUUUUGGGAGCUUGAGAUACUUCUUCCAGCGCUCAAGCUGAAUCUUCGAACUCCAACAACAAUUCCGAAUCGUCGAAUUCCAACAAUUCCGAAAUCGUGGCUGUGCCGAAAGCUGAGAGCAGGAAGGGACGCAGAGGUGGACGAUUAUCGAAUCGUAGGAAUUGUCGUGAUUGCAUGAGAGCGACGUCAUCAGUCCAAGCACUUUACGUUCUUCUUUGGAAAGUUUGGGCAAGGCGAUAGGGAGAAGUUUGGUGCAUGCGAACUUCCAAUUGUAAGAGGAAAAUUGGUACAGACGGACACGUAGAGCACAGUGCAUGCGAGCUUCGUGUACAUUGUCGGAAAAUUGCGCCAAAUAACCAGCAUAGAGCAGCUAGCAGGAGAGCGAGGUGCGAAUCGCCCACU